rnacentral:rRNA from 1 species
UACGAGGGGGGCAAGCGUUGUUCGGAAUUAUUGGGCGUAAAGGGCGCGUAGGCGGUGUCGCAAGUCCGCGGUGAAAUCUCUAGGCUCAACUUAGAGACUGCCGCGGAAACUGCGGUGCUUGAGUGUGGGAGAGGUGCGUGGAAUUCCCGGUGUAGAGGUGAAAUUCGUAGAUAUCGGGAGGAACACCAGUGGCGAAGGCGGCCGCCUGGAUGGAUACUGACGCUGAGACGCGAAAGCGUGGGGAGCAAACAGG